AACUCUGUUCUCCAGCCUCUUCAUGGUAUCAGAGCAGCCACGAUCCAAUCCUCCAUCACAAUGUCAACUUCCAGCUCUACUACUUCCCCUACAUCAUCCUCAUCCUCAUCAUUUGAUUUGUCCGUUGCCUCGCCUCUUCCCAAUCUCGGUAAUAUUCAUUAUUUUCUUUCUUUAAAGCUAACUCCAACAAACUAUUUGCUAUGGAAAACGCAGUUUCUUCCUUUGUUAAGGAGUUUCGAUCUCCUCGGAUUAGUGGAGGGCACAGAUCGUUGCUCUUCCCCUUACAUUGUUACUAGUGAAUCUGGUCUGUCAUCCUUAAAUCCAGCAUAUACUGCUUAAAUUUGCAAAGACCAACUUCUUAUCCGUUGGAUUAUCGCUUCACUCUCGGAAGACGUUCUCUCACAAGUUGUUGGUCUUGCGACAUCCCAUGAAUGUUUGUGUUUUUAUAUUUAUUCUAGACAAAUAAUCAAUCGGAGGUUGGAUGGAAUUGCGUCAUAACGAUCAUAUCAAAUGGAGGUUGGCGGAAAUACCAGAAUGAAGCCAAAUACAUUCAAGUUAAAAAUUCAAGAUCAAGUUUCAUCCGCAACCAAGACGAGCUUGAUUGAAGAUCAA